GGAGCUUGCUCCUUUGACGUUAGCGGCGGACGGGUGAGUAACACGUGGGUAACCUACCUAUAAGGCUGGGAUAACUUCGGGAAACCGGAGCUAAUACCGGAUAACAUUUGGAACCGCAUGGUUCUAAAGUGAAAGAUGGUUUUGCUAUCACUUAUAGAUGGACCCGCGCCGUAUUAGCUAGUUGGUAAGGUAACGGCUUACCAAGGCGACGAUACGUAGCCGACCUGAGAGGGUGAUCGGCCACACUGGAACUGAGACACGGUCCAGACUCCUACGGGAGGCAGCAGUAGGGAAUCUUCCGCAAUGGGCGAAAGCCUGACGGAGCAACGCCGCGUGAGUGAUGAAGGGUUUCGGCUCGUAAAACUCUGUUAUUAGGGAAGAACAAAUGUGUAAGUAACUGUGCACGUCUUGACGGUACCUAAUCAGAAAGCCACGGCUAACUACGUGCCAGCAGCCGCGGUAAUACGUAGGUGGCAAGCGUUAUCCGGAAUUAUUGGGCGUAAAGCGCGCGUAGGCGGUUUCUUAAGUCUGAUGUGAAAGCCCACGGCUCAACCGUGGAGGGUCAUUGGAAACUGGGAAACUUGAGUGCAGAAGAGGAAAGUGGAAUUCCAUGUGUAGCGGUGAAAUGCGCAGAGGUAUGGAGGAACACCAGUGGCGAAGGCGACUUUCUGGUCUGUAACUGACGCUGAUGUGCGAAAGCGUGGGGAUCAAACAGGAUUAGAUACCCUGGUAGUCCACGCCGUAAACGAUGAGUGCUAAGUGUUAGGGGGUUUCCGCCCCUUAGUGCUGCAGCUAACGCAUUAAGCACUCCGCCUGGGGAGUACGACCGCAAGGUUGAAACUCAAAGGAA
rnacentral:rRNA from 1 species